rnacentral:rRNA from 1 species
GACGAAGGAUGCAAGCGUUAUCCGGAUUCAUUGGGUUUAAAGGGUGCGUAGGCGGACCUGUAGUCAUGUGGAAUCAAUCUUCGUCUCUAACGAAGAAACUGCCAUUGAUACUGCAAGUCUAGAGUAUAGAUGACGUUGGCGGAAUAUGACAUGUAGUGGUGAAAUACUUAGAUAUGUCAUAGAACACCGAUUGCGAAGGCAGCUAACGAAAACUAUAACUGACGCUGAGGCACGAAAGUGCGGGGAUCAAACAGG